CAAAAUUGAACCAUACUAGCUGAUAAAAGCGAAUUGUUAUUUCACUAUUUGCAUUUUAUUAAUGCUUGAGCAAAAAAAUGUAUAUAUUACGUUUUUUAUAAAUCUCUAGCUAGUGCCCCUUGAAACUUAACUGAACUGUGUAUCAAUUUAUCUUUGGUGAAAAUACUAGGACGGUAUAUCUUCCAACCUCGCUUCGUGAUACAGCGAUUGACGUCCAUAAUAAACUGUACGGCGGUUAUAAAAACCCCGUUGCUCAGAACAAUUUAAAUAUGUAACAAUAAAAUGUAUUUGAUAUGGCCUUGUAUUCAGUCACCAAAGCGUCAAAUGUAUGGCAAUUAUUUGUGCGAUAUAAAACGUUACCACUCACUUGUAUAACUUGGGCAUGAAAUCAAUUGUCAGGUUGUAACUAUUUAUUCCUAUCGUUUCAACCUUCAAACAAACAAAUUAAAAACAAAUUUUCAGUCACAUAAUAAACACAAUAAUUCAAAUCAAAUUAACCCCAAAAAUGUUCCAUAAAUUCGCUUUCAACUUAAUCAUUGAUUCCAAUUGUCCUUUGUAUUUAUAUGUAAAUGUUAUUCAAGCGUUCCAUAGUUUUUCCCACACGUAGAUCUUUGUAUUGAUAUGUAAAUGUUAUUCACGCGUUCCAUAGUUUUUCCCAAACGUUGAUCAUUGUAACAUAAUAACAUCUUCGAAUCAUGUUCAUAUAUAAAACAAACGUAAUUAUCAGUUCAUAUUCAUUGUUCUGUACACGAACAGGCGCGUAGCUCCCUAUACGCUAACACGCAGUUGCGUGCACAUCGAUUCGGCAUGCAAAAACAAAAUAAUGGCAAAAUAAAAAUU
rnacentral:lncRNA from 1 species